AUCAUAAUAAUUAUUAUUUUAUUAUAUAAAUUUGGUCAAACUUAGGAUAGUUUGACUCUCUAAGAUUCUUGGAAUGACUUAUAAUUUGGGAUGGAGGAAGUACUAUCAAAUUGGUUUAGGCCAUGUCGACAAAAUUUGUAGCCCACUGGACAGAAUCAGGUAACUGAUUUCUGGUUUAGGAACAUCUGUUUUCUCACAUUCUUGUGCAUAGGUUAAGAUUGAUUUGUGCCCCAAGAGUCAUGUUUAGUCUGAAUAUCUUUUUAAUUUUUACAACAUAUAAAUCUUUGUGCAGCUAUUGUUGUCAUUGCAGUAUAUUCAGUAGAACUGGUGGAUAUAAAUAAUGUUUAUCUAUAUUUAAUAGCUAUCCAAGACUGCCUCAGUUUACUUAUCCUUUGAAGUCAUCAUGGGAAUCCUCUGCACAAUCAGAAAGUACUGUUACUUCUCAGAAAUUUGGCAGAUAUUAAAAUUUUGUCGUUAUUGAAUUUACGCUAAUCACUAAUCAGUUGAAAAGCACAAAGGAAACUCAAUUGCUGAUUGUUCCAAAGAAGAACUGGGAAAAUAAUUAUUUUUUAAGUCAGUAUAAGUCAGCAUAGGCAGUACCUUGCAGGUUUAUCUAAAGGUUAUUGAUCAGAUAUUUAAAAAGGUAUCAAAAUCAGCCAACUGGAAUUUUGUUGUAUUGAGAACUACAUCUAGUACUUUGCAAUGUGCAUGUCAGAGCGGAAUAAAGAAUAGGUAGAUAUCGUCUCCAUAUCAAUUUGGUCAUGCAAACUAUUUUUUCAGUGACUGACUCGCAGAUUGUCAUGCAUAUUUUGUGCACCUGUACAAAAUGAAGCCACAAUAGCAUUGUUUCAUUGGUGCAAUGUCUACUUGGUUAUUCCGUGCUCCCACUCAUUCAUGUCUGCUGGAAAAAGAUUCUAAUUUAUUGUAUUCAUAAGUAGAGGCCACAGAUGUUCUUGAGGAAGUAGCUUGCUUUGUCAAGUAGGCGAACAGUUCGGACCCCCCUCCCCACUACGUACCAUGUAUUGGCGUUAAAUUUCCGUGUUUUGUACUAUUUACUAAACUGUUUGUCUGUUUCAGGUGUCGAUCUAUAGCAUGUUGUUCAGUACACUGCAUUCAUUUACAUUUUUCUGCCAAAAGUAUGUUUUCUGUUUCUUGAAUAUAAUAUUCUUACAUAUAUGUAUCUGUUUUUAUUAAGCUAAACUUUUCACCAAUAAUUGAAAUAUAGUGACUCUGGAUGGAAGCAAAUGCUGAUAUAGAAGCAGGGUGAGUUAUUCCUAGGAAGUUGGAAUGAGAAAGCAAAGGCUGAUAUGGAGAGCAGAGUGAGUUAUUCCUAGGAAGUUGGAAUGAGAAAUUGAUGUUGCAAACAAGUGUCAACCAUGGAGUUAGAUCAGUAUAUGUAUGCAAAUCUGUGUUCAUGCUAUGGACUUAAUAUAUGGUUUUACCUGCUUACUUCCAGCUGUUCCUACUUAAGCUGAACAUUGUCUUUUAUUAUCAUUCUGGACAUAUUAUCCUUGUAUAAUAUGUACAGCAGCUCGAGACAAUGUGAUUCCUUAUUCUAAUCAUUUGCUUCUUUCUAAAUAUUAAGGAAAAAUAUCUGCUGAAAUGUAGAGAUACAUUACACAAAAGAAAAGAAAGCCAAAGAACAAGAUAAAUCCUACAGAACAUUGUAUAUUCAUUGCUGACAUGUUCCUGUGAUUUCCAUCUGAAAUUCUUUCUUUUCGUGGUUACUGGUGAUUGUAAGUCAAAUGAUUUGAUGUAUGCAUUCGGUCUGUCCUGUGUUAACUUUCAGUACUACACUGUGCAGGCUGUAAGAAAAGAGCAGUGAAUGCAGCAGAAAUAAGUCUCUAGGGACCAUUGGAGGUGCUCUCUGACCCCAUUCUGGAGGUAGCUGGUCCACUAUUCAAGACAAGGUAUAAAUCCACUUCCCAGGCCAGCAUGGAGCCACCAAUGCUACAUAAAUGCAUGCGUUAUUAUGCUGUAUUUUGUUUGGUUGUCACCGCUUCUCUAUAGGCCCCAAUCUAGAGUUUUCUAGGGUCGAAUCUUUGUACAAUCUUUGUACAAUGCAGAAGUGUUUGAACAAAUCAUUACGUUGCAAAUGAUCAGGUUUUGCCUGGAUCCUGGUUAGGUUGACUGUUGCUCAUUCUAUAUUCAAAGUGAAGAUGAUCCUUUCGUGGAUGAAUUAGAUAAGAAUUUUGGUGCAUCUGGCCCAGUUGGAAAGCUUCUGCAUGUUUACUGACUUAAUAUUAGAGUGUUUUGUAGUGCCCCUACCUUGUUAUUGUCUCUUCAGCGAACAUUUUCUAUUCUAUCAUCUUUUAUUAUUCUGUAUCAGUGCAAGACACCAGAGUUAAGAUGAGUGAUGAAAUUACUGAAGUUGAAUUUAGACUGCCUUGGCAUAUGAAAAAUCAUUAUUGUAGACAUAUUGUCACAAUUAGUUAUUACUUAUUAGGGGUUUGUGGAUGUGGAAAGAGUGUGAUGUGAAAGGGUAGGAUAUAAUCUCCAAAAGUAGAAUGCUAGAAUCACUUAUAGCAAUAUGAAAGGGAUACUUCAGAAGAGAUGCCUUUCGUUUCUUGAAAAAUUGCAGUGAUUGUUUCUGUACUCUUGGAAGUCAUGAAUAUAGUUUGGAGUAAUCUUCAUUCUAGUAAAUCUUCUUUUAAAUUUCCUUCAUAUCUUACGAGGUAGAUUUAUUUUAAUUAUGUUUUUUGUGGAAUAAAGAGAAAGAGAACUCGUUUGAAUGGAAAGGGAAAUUCCAAGAUCCAAGGAUAUACAAGUUUUAGAUAGCAGGUUAGCACCUGAACAAGUGAACAAGUGAACAUUGGUUUUCCUUUCCAGCCUAACUUCUGCAACCCCAAAUGCUGAUUGGUUUAGUUUCAUAUAAACUCAAUAUUUGUCUUUGCUAUUGCUAAUGCUGAUAAACUUUUUGAUUAAUUGGCAAGGGUGUUGAUUUGGAUAGUUGAAACAGUGUUGGAGUUAUGUGGUUGUUUAAUUCACAAUGGAUUAGAAGGGAAUACGACAAUGAUGCCUAGAGUAUAUUUAUGGCACUAAACAAAUGUUUUCUGGCAUUCAAGUGUCAUGUUGAUUUUGCUUUAAAGGAUGAUGAUCAAAAGGGGGGAAAUUUCUGUUUGUGCUUGUGCUUAAGAAAACAAACAUGGGCCCAACCCCUAUAAAUACUGUCAAGUGAAAUUAAUCAUCAUUCCAGCCUUUUGUUAGGACUCUCUUUAAGACUGCUGCCUUUGACUAUUACAUCAAACAUUUAAGCACAGGCUUGGAAUCCUAUAUCAUUCCUUAAAGGGAGGCAAAGAGUGCGCGCCCAGAGAGGGCCUUAUUAAUACCUAUACUAAUGUGAAAAGGUGCAGUAAAGUGGUUGAUCCCCCAAAACUCUUGGAGUGAGACACGGGGCAUAAGUCAUAAUGUAUUGCUGCUAGAACCUUCUCUCUAGGGCAUACUGUAAUAACUGCAAGGACUCUAAUAUCAAUACCAUUCUGUUUCUGGAAGAAAUUAUAAUUGACAUUUCUACUUCAGCCAGAACAAUAAUACAAUCAAGUGAGUCCCACAUGUCUACGUCAAUGUGACAUUAUUGAUAGCACACUGUUCAAGUUUAAUUUUUGUUUGGCUUGGGAAGCAAUGCUUGUACCCUUUUCAUCUAAUCAGAUUGAUCAGUCAUGGUAAGAUGAUAUCAUGGAAAGGAUGUUUCAAUGCCACAAAACUUCUAAAAAAUGUUUGUUCGAUAAACCUAUCUUAGCUUUACGCAAUGGUGGUUUCUGAAGUGUACAUCAACCGUUGUGUAGUAUUUAUUUAUUUAUUGUAAUGGUGACACAUAGCAGUAAAUAUAGUUUGCAAGCAAAGAGAGAAUUGUUAAACUGGAUUUAGGAUUGACAAUUCCUGGUUAUGGGUCUCACAACAGUUCCUGCAGUAGUAUGUAUACAUUUUCGUAUUUCGAUGAAGGAAUGAAGAAUACAUGCGCGAUAAUUAGAAGUUACUUGUCAUGCACUACAUCCUUGGGUUAACCAUGUGGGAAGGAAGAAGCCAUGGUGUGCUGGUGGGAUGGAGAAAGGUGCAAGUUUCACUUUCUAUAUUUAUUGUUCUCCUUCAUCAUUGAAUAUUUCAAUUCUUGAUAGGAAAUACUUAUCGUUUGGAGCAAGUUGCGUUCAUGAGCGGUAGGUAUCACCAUCAUCAUGGCGUAAAGCUAGGAUUGGUUAGAGGUUUCUCUAUCUGAGAGACUGGUGUGCCUAGCCUACCUCACACUUAGCGAUCUCUCCUGGAAAUUUCCAUCACUGUUUGCAGAAAUUGAAGAACCAGCUGCAUGAGUUUUCAUGCAAUAAAAAGAGGGAAAUAUAGAGAAAAAUAGUUGUAUUGCAAAUGCCUGCCUUUCUAGGAUUAUGCAUAGUAGACAUUUGUGAUAUUCAUAAGUGGUAUGAUUUUCUUGUUGAUGAGUGUUGCUUGUUGAUUUACAUACGUUCCAUCGAUGCGCCUCACAUGAUAUCUAAAAAGUAUCUGUUAUCUACAGUUGUAUGGUUGUAUUAUGCUUGCUAAGUGCGAAUAUCUUUCUGCAUACACUAAAACUGUACAUAUACAUAGAUGCUACCGCAUAGAUUAGAGCCACAAGUGUAAAUUGAAUCAUAACUUCAUAAGAUUGUAUUAUUGAGUUGUAAGUAAUUGCAUUAUGUCAAGUUUAUGAAUAUAAGUAUUGUGAUCAGCAAAGAUGGCCAAGAAAGAAUGUUGUGUGGGCUACACCGAAUCAGUACCUGUAAUGCUGCUUGUAAUAAAUCUUGGUCCAUUUUAUUCUAAACCAUUGAUGGGUUUCCCUUGUAGGAACUUUGUACUCAGGUCUAUUGAUUAGCCAUCACUUUCCAAUCAGGUGCUUUAAGUUUGUGUACCUCCCACAUCAGUUUAAUUCUGAUGUUAUCUGUACAAUGGCAAUCUGCGAGGCAGUCCUUUUAACUCUCGUAAGACGUUAUGCAGUUAAGAAGUCCAAUAAAUUAUGCAACUGAUGUCAGCUAUUAUGGCUCGUGAAGGAGUUUUGUUUGUGUUUACAGGACUGGUAGAAAAUAUUUGCUCAGGGAGCUUGAAUCCAAGGAAAGGCAUGGGAAGCAUGGCCCCUGCUGCACUGAACAAGAAACCAACAAGCUCUCAUAACAACACUCCACCAGAAACCAACAACAGAGAGAAGGAAGGAACCCUCGCACAAGCACUCUCUGGUCCGACUCCGACGGGUGCAGCUGGACGGGACCCUACAUUGUAAAUGUGCGCUUGUCUCGGUGCUCUCAGUAUGGGUCCAUGCACACUUGCCCGAAGAUUGAUGCAAUGUUGACGGUGACCAGUGACAGUGAGCCCCCCAGCGCACGCAGGCAAGCAAAGCAAGCAAGCAGGGCAGGCGGGCGCGCAGCGUCCUUGAACUGAAUUGAGACGGGGAGUUGAGGAGAAGCCGGGUGUCACUGGCACUGGGCAUGCAGGCGAUCCUGUGAGUGAAGCACGUUCGGGUGGGCUGAUGAGGCUCUAGAUGGCGCGUGUGCGUGUGCGUGUGUACUGGAGAUCUGGAGAGGGGGGCGAGGGAAGCUACUGAUGAACUGAUGAAUUUGCGGACAAAUCUGGAGGCCGAAAGGCGUCAUUGGGGGUCCCGAUUGGUUGGAAGAAGGCAGCUUUCUGCAGAUGCCCGGUGUGUUCCUUCUUGACCAGGGGUGUUUGUUGGUUGUUACAGGCGGCAUGGUGCGUGACCGAGUCUGGUCUGAUCUGGCGUGCAGGAGGGUGUGAGCCUGUGACGUGACCGUCCGGAAUCUUUGUGGCGAUCACUUGGAGUUUAAAAAUGUUUGACUACUGAAAAAAAUAAGAAUUGUGUCUUUGGGAAAGAGGGCAGUGCAAUGCUUCUUUUUUCCACUCA